UCCCUGGUGGUCUAGUGGUUAGGACUCAGCGCUUUCACCGUUGCGACCCAGAUUCAAUCCCUAGUCUGGGAA
rnacentral:tRNA from 1 species